ensembl:snRNA U6 U6 spliceosomal RNA
GUGCUUACUUCAGCAAUGCAUAUACUAAACCUGGAAUAAUACAGAGAAGGUUAGCAUGGCCUCUGUAUGAGGAUGACAUGCAAAUUCAUGAAGAGUUCCAUAUUUGG